rnacentral:rRNA from 1 species
AGAGUUUGAUCAUGGCUCAGGACGAACGCUGGCGGCGUGCUUAAUACAUGCAAGUCGAGCGCGAACAUUCCUUCGGGGAUGUUUGAGCGGCGGACGGGUGAGUAACGCGUGGGCAAUCUGCCCUCUAGCCUGGGAUAACAGUUCGAAAGGACUGCUAACACCGGAUAUUCUCUUGAGAAGGCAUCUUUUUAAGAGGAAAG